GUCUUGAACUCACUAUUUAACCCAGGCUGGCCUUGCAGUAAUCCUCCUACCUCAGCCUUCCAAGUAUUGGGAUUACAUGUUCACCACCAAGCCAGGCAAAACUGUAUUUUUAAUGAGAUAUAUCAGUAAAUGAUUAAUAGCAGUUUGUGAAAAUAUAUAUUAUAAAGUAAUCCUAUUGUUUUCUAUGUCUAUGGUAUCUCAAAAGAUAUUAUCAAAAUAAGGUUGUUACUGGUGCAUUUGAGAAAAUUUUUAUUCUUCUUUCACAUUUUGCUAAUCUGCAUUUGAUAAUAUUUUAUGCAAGAAUUUAAAUAAAUAGUUUUUCUUAGGAGUUUCAAGUAUACUUAAAAUAUUUUUGGAGUCUGCAUUCUUAAAUGGUAAAACAAAAAGAACAUGCAAAGUUGAGAUUUAAAGUGUAGAAUUAAAUAAAUUUUUUCUUAAAUUGUUCUGUUUUAUCCUAGAUUUUAGAUGAAAAUGGCAAUGUUCUACCUCCUGGACAAGAAGGAGAUAUUGGCAUUCAAGUUCUACCUAAAAGACCAUUUGGCCUUUUUACUCAUUAUGUAGAGGAGCAGGAAGAACAGAGAAUGGUGCAGUGGAAUUAAGUAAAUCUCUUUGAAUUAUUAGGGGUCAGUGCCUUUUUU
rnacentral:lncRNA from 1 species